GUUCGUUUUGGCAGAACAUAUACUAAAAUUAGAACAACACAGAGAAGGUUAGCAUGGCCCUUGUGCAAGGAUGACAUGCAAAUUCAUGGAAAAAACUGAUGUAAUU